rnacentral:misc_RNA from 1 species
GUGAGUCAUCGAAUCUUUGAACGCACAUUGCGCCCGCUAGUAUUCUGGCGGGCAUGCCUGUUCGAGCGUCAUUUCACCCCUCAAGCGCAGCUUGGUGUUGGGGCUCUAGGGUCUUUGGACCGGUAGGCCCCGAAAACUAGUGGCGGGCUCGCUGUGACUCCGAGCGUAGUGUUCUUUCUCGCUCCGGACGUUCAGCGCGUCCCUGCCGUAAAACUCGUGAAAACGAACCCGUUGACCUCGGAUCAGGUAGGAAUACCCGCUGAACUUAAGCAUAUCAAUAAGCGGAGGA